UCACCGGGGCCACCCACUCGAGGUGGCCCGCGGACGGCGCCAGGUGGGGAAACCGGGCGGUCCCAGCCGGCUGGGAGACGGCGUCGCCCCCUGCGCGGUCCCCGGGCCCCGGCGCUAGGCCGGGCAGGGACUCGGGGCUGCCUGACCCAGGCCCCCGGACCCGCUCCGAGGGGGCCGCCGCGAGGGGCACGAAGGCGCUCCGUGGUCCCUGUUCCCGAGCAGCGUGGGCGAGUCGGGGCCCCAGAUGGGGUCUGUGAACCCGGCCAGGAUGGCCUCGCGCGCCCCCGGACCCGCGGUUGAAGGAAAUACUAGAAUUGCAAUGUUACAGAACAGACAAAUGAGUCCCAGCUGCCCAGGCCUGCUCUUCCGACUAACCCCUCGAAGCUCAGAGGCCCGUGGGCAGGCAGGAUAAUACCAAUGCUAUCACCAGUGGGGGCCGAUGGGACCAGAAACCAACGUGAAACUGGCUUUGGUUUGUGGCCACGGCAGCAACCAUGUUCAGGAAGCCUGGCGUUUGUUUGCCUUUCUGCCUCUCGGAAUCGUGGUUUGCUCGGCUCCUUUGUUCCAGAAGAGCUGUUCUCUUCCCAGCCACUUCGCACUGGGCUGGUCGGCAGCGGUGGACUCCCAGUGUCCGGUCACGUUAUUCCUCACUGUUUUGUUUCACCGAUGCCAUUCCUCUGGCCCUUUGGCUUUGCCUUGGCCCAGUUCAAUCUCCCUGCAACAGUUCUGAGAACAGCCUAUUGUUACCUGUUCUCAGCAAGGAGCCUAGAGUGUGGGGACCUCCUGGCCAGGUUUACUCUUAUACUCACCACCUCACCUUGCAUGUAGUAGGUACUUAAUUAAUGCUGGUAGAGUGAGCCCAUGAAUGAGAUAUGGUGAGCACUGUCCAGCUCUGGCCACAUCCCAGCACUUUCUGGUUGUCUCGCCCCGUCAUGGCUGAGCUGGCUCUGGUGUGAUGAAGUGACAAAGACACAGGUGCGACUUGUCUGGUAAGAGGAGCAUCAAGACGUGGAUGAAUAUUCUGGUCUUCUGGUCACUGCUCUGGAGAUGUUGAACUUGGUCAGGAACUCCCGAAGUGAGAAUUCUUUUAAAAAAUUUUUUUUAAGAUUUUAUUUAUUUUUUAGAGAAAGGGGAAGGGAAGGAGAGAGAGAGGGAGAGGAACAUC